rnacentral:rRNA from 1 species
GGGGAAAAAUUAAUUAUUUAUUUAAUAAUAAAAAUAAUUUUAAUUUAUAUAAUAUUUAAUAGGGGUUUUAGUAUUAUUUAAAGAAAAAAUUUUUAUAUUUAUAGUUUAUUAGUAUUGUGAAAGAAUUUUGAAAUAUUUGAAAAUAAAUUUAUUUAAAAGUAAUUUUUAUUUAAUGUAUCUUGUGUAUCAGAGUUUAUUAAAAAUUUUUAAUUUAUUUUAAUUUCUCGAAUUUAAAAGAGUUAAAUAAUUAUUAAAGUUAAUGUUGCAAAAUUAUUUUAAAUAAUUAUUUUGAAAUGAAAUGUUAAUCGUUUUUAAAUAUAUCUAGUUUUUUUAGAAAAAAAUUUAAUUUUAAAUUUAUAUAUAAUUAAGUUAAUUAAUUAACUUAAUUAUUUUUAAUUUUUAUAUUUUAAGGGAUAAUCUUUAAUUUAAAUUUUUAUAAUAAAAAAUUUUAUUUUUAAAAGUUUUAUAAUUUAUAUUGUUAAUAAAAUUUAUUUUAUUAUAAAUAAUUUUAAAAUUUAAUUAAAAUUUAAAAAUUUAUAUUUAAUUUUUUAUAAAAAUUUAAUUUAUAAUUUGAAAAUAUUAGUAAUAAUGAUAAAAUUAGUAUAUUUAUUUAAUUAUAAAUUAUAUAAUUUGAAAUUUUAAUUAUUAAUAAAUUAAUAAAAAGGAAUUCGGCAAAUAUUUAUUUUCACUUGUUUAUCAAAAACAUGUCUUUUUGUAAUUUAUUUAAAGUCUAAUCUGCCCACUGAUGAAAAUUGAAGGGCUGCAGUAUUUUGACUGUACAAAGGUAGCAUAAUCAUUAGUCUCUUAAUUGGUGACUUGUAUGAAGGAUUGAAUGAGAAAUAGACUGUCUCUUAAUUUAAUUUAUAGAAUUUAAUUUUUUAUUUAAAAAGUUAAAAUAUUUUAAAAAGACGAGAAGACCCUAUAGAGUUUUAUAAUUUAUUUAUUAAAAAAUUAUUUAUAAUGAAAAUAUUUUUAAUAAAUUAAUUAUUUUUUUGGGGUGAAAAAAAAAUAAAUUAAACUUUUUUUAAAAAUUUACAUAUAUAAGUGGUUAAAUGAUCCAAUUUUAUUGAUUAUAAGAUUAAAUUACCUUAGGGAUAACAGCGUAAUUUUUUUUUUUAGUUCAAAUAAGAAAAAAAGUUUGCGACCUCGAUGUUGGAUUAAGAUAAAAUUUAAAUGCAAAAGUUUAAAAUUUUUGAUCUGUUCGAUCAUUAAAAUCUUACAUGAUCUGAGUUCAAACCGGUGUGAGCCAGGUUGGUUUCUAUCUUUUAAUUAUUAAAAUAUUUUAGUACGAAAGGAUCAAAUAUUUUAAUUAAAUUAUUUUAAUUUUGAAUUUCAUUAAAUUGUUAUAAUAUUUAUUUUAUUUUUAUAUAAAUAA